rnacentral:rRNA from 1 species
AUCUGGUUGAUCCUGCCAGAGGCGACCGCUAUUGGAGUUCGAUUAAGCCAUGCGAGUAGAAAGAAAUUAGAUUCUUUGCAUACUGCUCAGUAACACGUGGAUAGCCUGCCCUGUGCUGGAGGAUAAUCUUGGGAAACUGAGCAUAAUACUCCAUAGACCACUACGCCUGGAACGGUGAGUGGUUCAAAGCUCUGGCGGCACAGGAUGGGUCUGCGGCGUAUCAGGUUGUAGGGGGUGUAAUGGACCCCCUAGCCAUCGACGCGUACGGGUUGUGGGAGCAAUAGCCCGGAGACGGAUUCUGAGACACGAAUCCGGACCCUACGGGGUGCAGCAGGCGCGAAAACUUCACACUGCAGGCAACUGUGACGAGGGAACUCCAAGUGACUGCACAAUGUGUAGCCUUUUCUUGACUGUUAAUAAGUCCUGGAAUAAGGGCUGGGAAAGACCGGUGCCAGCCGCCGCGGUAAUACCGGCAGCUCGAGUGGUCGUCGCUUUUAUUGGGCCUAAAACGUCCGUAGCCUGUUCAGUAAA